rnacentral:rRNA from 1 species
UACGGAGGGUGCAAGCGUUAUCCGGAUUCACUGGGUUUAAAGGGUGCGUAGGUGGGCCUGUAAGUCAGCGGUGAAAUCUCCGGGCUUAACCCGGAAACUGCCAUUGAUACUAUAGGUCUUGAAUUAUCUGGAGGUAAGCGGAAUAUGUCAUGUAGCGGUGAAAUGCUUAGAUAUGACAUAGAACACCAAUUGCGAAGGCAGCUUACUACGGAUAUAUUGACACUGAGGCACGAAAGCGUGAGGAUCAAACAGG